AGAUCGGAGGCGGCCCGCGCCGGGCCCCACAUUCAGGGCUUGGGGGUUCAUUCGCCGCGCCGCCCGCCGCUGCUUCAGGCCCUCCGCUUCGGCUCGGAGCCCCGGGACCCCUAACCUCCAGGGCCCUCACCUUGGACCCGCCUCCCUGCCUCCCACCCGCCGCCUUUACCUGCUUCUGGAGCGGGCAGAGGGCGUCGAAGCCGGUGCCGCGUCGUCGAACGCACAACGCGGCGCCGCAGAAAGGGUCUCACUCUUUUGCCCAGGCUGGGGUGCACUGGCACUAUCUCGGCUCACUGCAACCUCUGCCUCUGGAACUCGAAGGAUCAUCCCACCUCAGCCUCCCAGGCCUGCCAGACACCUGCGCCCUCCUGCAGCCACCGCCACAGCUGCCAGCAUGUCUGGCCCAGACAUCAAGACGCCGACCGCCAUCCAGAUCUGCCGGAUUAUGCGGACGCUAAUGUGGCCCGCAAUGUCUAGGCGGGACCAUCCUGAAGAUGAUCAAAGAGGCGGGCGCCAUCAUCAGCACCCGGCAUUGCAAUCCGCAGAACGGGGAUCGCUGUGUGGCCGCUCUGGCUCGGGUCGAGUGCACCCACUUCCUGUGGCCCAUGUGCAUCGGUGAGGUGGCCCACGUCAGCGCGGAGAUCACCUACACCUCCAAGCACUCUGUGGAGGUGCAGGUCAACAUGAUGUCCGAAAACAUCCUCACAGGUGCCAAAAAGCUGACCAAUAAGGCCACCCUCUGGUAUGCGCCCCUGUCGCUGACGAACGUGGACAAGGUCCUCGAAGAGCCUCCUGUUGUGUAUUUCCGGCAGGAGCAGGAGGAGGAGGGCCAGAAGCGGUACAAAACCCAGAAGCUGGAGCGCAUGGAGACCAACUGGAGGAACGGGGACAUCGUCCAGCCAGUCCUCAACCCAGAGCCGAACACUGUCAGCUACAGCCAGUCCAGCUUGAUCCACCUGGUGGGGCCUUCAGACUGUACCCUGCACAGCUUCGUGCAUGAAGGGGUGACCAUGAAGGUCAUGGACGAGGUCGCCGGGAUCUUGGCUGCACGCCACUGCAAGACCAACCUCGUCACAGCCUCCAUGGAGGCCAUUAAUUUUGACAACAAGAUCAGAAAAGGCUGCAUCAAGACCAUCUCCGGACGCAUGACCUUCACGAGCAAUAAGUCCGUAGAGAUCGAGGUCUUGGUGGAUGCCGACUGUGUUGUGGACAGCUCUCAGAAGCGCUACAGGGCCGCCAGUGUCUUCACCUAAGUGUCGCUGAGCCAGGAAGGCAGGUCGCUGCCCAUGCCCCAGCUCGUGCCGGAGACCCAGGACGAGAAGGGCUUUGAGGCCUGGCUCGGUGGCUCACGCCUAUAAUCCCAGCACUUUAGGAUGCUGAGGCAGGCGGAUCACUUGACGUCAGGAGUUCAAGACCAGCCUAGCCAACAUGGCAAAACCCCAUCUCUACUAAAAAUACAAAACUUAACUGGGCGUGGUGGCAGGCGCCUAUAAUCCCAGCUACUCAGGAGGCUGAGGCAGGACAAUCUCUUGAACCUGGGAGGCAGAGGUUGCAGUGAGCCAAGAUCAUGCCACUGCUCUCCAGCCUGGGCAACAAGAGCAAAACUCCGUCUC
ensembl:lncRNA novel transcript